rnacentral:rRNA from 1 species
GAUGAACGCUGGCGGCGUGCCUAAUACAUGCAAGUCGAGCGAACGGACGAGAAGCUUGCUUCUCUGAUGUUAGCGGCGGACGGGUGAGUAACACGUGGAUAACCUACCUAUAAGACUGGGAUAACUUCGGGAAACCGGAGCUAAUACCGGAUGAUAUUUUGAACCGCAUGGUUCAAAAGUGAAAGACGGUCUUGCUGUCACUUAUAGAUGGAUCCGCGCUGCAUUAGCUAGUUGGUAAGGUAACGGCUUACCAAGGCAACGAUGCAUAGCCGACCUGAGAGGGUGAUCGGCCACACUGGAACUGAGACACGGUCCAGACUCCUACGGGAGGCAGCAGUAGGGAAUCUUCCGCAAUGGGCGAAAGCCUGACGGAGCAACGCCGCGUGAGUAAUGAAGGUCUUCGGAUCGUAAAACUCUGUUAUUAGGGAGGAACAUAUGUGUAAGUAACUGUGCACAUCUUGACGGUACCUAAUCAGAAAGCCACGGCUAACUACGUG